rnacentral:rRNA from 1 species
GUAGUCCUAGCCGUAAACGGUGCACGUUUGCUGUAAAAGGAAUCGACCCCUUUUGUGGCGAAGCUAACGCGUUAAACGUGCCGCCCGGGAAGUACGGUCGCAAGAUUAAAACUCAAAGAAAUUGACGGGGGCCUGCACAAGCGGUGGAGUAUGUGGCUUAAUUCGAUGCAACGCGAAGAACCUUACCUGGCCUUGACAUGUAUCUAGUAGAAGGGUGAAAGCCUGACGAGGUAGCAAUACCAGGAUACACAGGUGCUGCAUGGCUGUCGUCAGCUCGUGUCGUGAGAUGUUGGGUUAAGUCCCGCAACGAGCGCAACCCUUGCGUCCAGUUGCCACUCCUUAAUUGGAAGCACUCUGGAUGGACUGCCUCGUUUAAACGAGGAGGAAGGUGGGGAUGACGUCAAGUCAGUAUGGCCCUUACGGCCAGGGCUGCACACGUACUACAAUGCCCGGCACAAAGGGAAGCAAGACCGCAAGGUGGAGCAAAUCCCAGAAAACCGGGCUCAGUUCAGAUUGAGGUCUGCAACUCGACCUCAUGAAGCUGGAAUCGCUAGUAAUGGCGCAUCAGCUACGGCGCCGUGAAUA